rnacentral:rRNA from 1 species
AUUGAACGCUGGCGGCAUGCUUUACACAUGCAAGUCGAACGGUAACAGGCCGCAAGGUGCUGACGAGUGGCGAACGGGUGAGUAAUGCAUCGGAACGUGCCCAGUCGUGGGGGAUAACGCAGCGAAAGCUGCGCUAAUACCGCAUACGAUCUGUGGAUGAAAGCGGGGGACCGUAAGGCCUCGCGCGAUUGGAGCGGCCGAUGUCAGAUUAGGUAGUUGGUGGGGUAAAGGCUCACCAAGCCGACGAGCUGUAGCUGGUCUGAUGGGACGACCAGCCAAACUGGGACUGAGACACGGCCCAGAGUCCUGCGGGAGGCAGCAGUGGGGAAUUUUGGACAAUGGGCGCAAGCCUGAUCCAGCAAUGCCGCGUGCAGGAAGAAGGCCUUCGGGUUGUAAACUGCUUUUGUACGGAACGAAAAGGCUCUGGUUAAUACCUGGGGCUCAUGACGGUACCGUAAGAAUAAGCACCGGCUAACUACGUGCCAGCCGCCGCGGUAACAC